rnacentral:rRNA from 1 species
AAUCAACGCUGGCGGCGUGCCUCAGACAUGCAAGUCGAACGAUUAAAGCUCUCUUCGGAGAGUGUAUAGAGUGGCGCACGGGUGAGUAACACGUAAGUAAUCUACCUUUGAGUGGGGAAUAACAGUCGGAAACGGCUGCUAAUACCGCAUAACGCAGCGGCACCGCAAGGUGACAGUUAGUUAAAGGAGCAAUCCGACUUAAAGAGGAGCUUGCGGCAGAUUAGCUUGUUGGUAAGGUAACGGCUUACCAAGGCUACGAUCUGUAUCCGGUCUAAGAGGACGGUCGGACACACUGACACUGAAUAACGGGUCAGA